AUUUACAUGUGUGUGGAUGGUGUUCAGCACCAGGGACAGGUAUGUUUACAUGUGAGUGGAUAGUGUUCAGCGCCAAGGACAGGUAUGUUUGCAU
rnacentral:pre_miRNA from 1 species